rnacentral:rRNA from 1 species
UACGGGGGGGGCAAGCGUUGUUCGGAAUUACUGGGCGUAAAGGGCUCGUAGGUGGCCAACUAAGUCGGACGUGAAAUCCCUCAGCUUAACUGGGGAACUGCGUCCGAUACUGGAUGGCUUGAGUUUGGGAGAGGGAUGCGGAAUUCCAGGUGUAGCGGUGAAAUUCGUUGAUAUCAGGAGGAACACCGGCGGCGAAGGCGGCCCCCUGGCCCGCAACUGACGCUCAUGGUCGAAAGCGUGGGGAGCAAACAGG